CAUAAGGUUCCCCCAUUUAAAGCUUACAAUUCAUGUUUUUUCAGUAUAUUCACAGAGUGGUCACCAUAAUCACCAUAAUCUAAUUUUAGAACAUUUUAUACCCCACAAAGAAGCCUUGUGCCCAUGAGUAGACACUCUGCAUCCUCUCUCCUCUCCUGCCCCACUCCAGUUCCAGGCAACCAGGACUCUACGUGGGCUCUGCAGACUGGCCUAUCCUGGAUAUUUCAUGGACGUGGACUCGCACGUGUGGUCUUGGCAUCUGGCUUCUUUCACUCAGUGGGAUGUUUGUGAGGUCUGUUCAUGCUGUAGCGUGUAUCAGCGUUCCGUUCCUUUCUAUUGCCAAAUAAUGGCCAUUGUAUGGAUAGACCACAUUUUCUUUACCCAUUCAUCAGUGGCAAUUUGGAAAGGUCUUUUCAAAAACAAGUCACAUAUCACUCCCCUGCUUAAAACCCUAUGACAGUUUCCCAUCAUAUCUAAAUGAAAUUUGUUGCCAUGGCCUGCAAGAUUCUUGAUGACAUGGCCCCAGCCUCUGUCACCAACAUUUUCUGCUGUUCCUCUCCGCACAGCUUACUCUGCCUUCUCCAUGUUUCUUGAACAUAUCAAGCUUGUUUCCACCCCAGGACCUUUGUACUUGCUGUUUCUUCUUCCCACUGCCUAGGAUGCCCUUUCCUCAAUUCUUCACAUAACUGGCUUAUUCUUUCCAUUCAGCUUGCCGUGUAAACGUUACCUCCUACUGAAGUUGCUACUCCCUGCCUGAGUCACUCUGUACCACCUUGUGUUACCCCUUCAUGCUUAGCAUUACCCGAAAUUGUCUGCUUUGUGUGUUUAUCACCCCUCUCCUCCUACUAGAAUAUUGAGCUCCAGAGAGGAAGCACCUUGUCUGUCUUCUUCCCUGCUGUGUCAUUGGGCCUGGAAUAGUUCCCAGUACAUAGUAGGAACUUAGUUUGUUGAGAGGCCUAUGGAUCCAGGCAUGUAAAGCCACUCCUGCAGUGGCACCAGAAGCCUCAGUUGUCCCCAGUGACAUUUUGCUCCCAAAUGCUGCUCCUAUUAUUGGCUGCCAAGAUGUUAGGGGUUGGUUUGGGAGUAAAUAACCCCUCUGCCUCUCUAGGGUCCCAAACGAUAGAGGAGAAACACAAAAAGGCACAGCCAAAUGGCUCUCAGCCCCCUUUCCCUGCCUCCGCCUUAUGAUCUGGGUGGAGCUGGAGAGGAAAACACUAACCUGGUCUUCCUCCCUGGGGAGCAGCAGAGGCCUGCGGAGAGAAGCCUGACCCGGAAGAGUUCACCCAGGGAACCGGGAAGCAGAAGAGGAGGAGGCUAGAGGACGGGCAGUGAGCGGGUGGGGGUGAGCCAGAGCGACAGGCCAGGGACUGGGGCAGUGACCCUGCCAACGUGGCUGCAGCCGGGCCAGGCCCUGCCUCCUCUUCCAGAGGGUGGAUGGAGUGGCAGCAUCUGCACCAACGCCUGGGAUGUGGAGCCAGAGCCCCCCGCCUCAGGGCAGAGGAUGAAGUCCAAGCUUUUCACAAGUGGGCGGGGCCCAGCCUGUCUUUCCUGCCUCCUCUCCCUUCCCCUGCCCCCGCAGUCCCUCAGCUCAAAUCCACUGGACGAUGUCCUCACAGUGCCACGGCCGGGCCCAUGCCCCGGAAUGCUCCUCCCCGCGCUCUGACUGGUAACCUCCUGAGCUCAGGCCCCGCUGGACUUGCCCUCUGAGAAGCCUCUUCUGACGCCUCCUGACGGUCAGGGGGACACUCCUCUGUGCACAUCCCUCUCUCACAGCACUUCCCUCUGGGGUCACGGUGUCCACUGACUUGUCUAGAAGGCAGAGACUCCGUUUUCUUCUUUGAUGGAUCGCCAGCGCCCAGAACAGAGCAUAGGAGACCGUCCAGAACCAUCUGCUGAAUGGGUGAAUGAAUGACGUCCCUGCUAACGGCGGGCUCCUCAAGGACGCAGCCAUCACGCCUCUCGGUACAUUUGCU
rnacentral:lncRNA from 1 species